CGGCGGACGGGUGAGUAACGCGUAGGCAACCUGCCCUUUGCAGAGGGAUAGCCUCGGGAAACCGGGAUUAAAACCUCAUGAUACUGAGAGCCCGCAUGGGCUUUUGGCCAAAGAUUUAUCGGCAGAGGAUGGGCCUGCGUCUGAUUAGUUAGUUGGUGGGGUAACGGCCUACCAAGGCGACGAAUCAGUAGCCGACCUGAGAGGGUGAUCGGCCACAUUGGAACUGAGACACGGUCCAAACUCCUACGGGAGGCAGCAG
rnacentral:rRNA from 1 species